rnacentral:rRNA from 1 species
AUUGAACGCUGGCGGCAUGCUUUACACAUGCAAGUCGAACGGCAGCGCGGGCUUCGGCCUGGCGGCGAGUGGCGAACGGGUGAGUAAUGCAUCGGAACGUGCCCAGUAGUGGGGGAUAGCCCGGCGAAAGCCGGAUUAAUACCGCAUACGACCUGAGGGUGAAAGCGGGGGACCGAAAGGCCUCGCGCUAUUGGAGCGGCCGAUGUCGGAUUAGCCAGUUGGUGGGGUAAAGGCUUACCAAGGCGACGAUCCGUAGCUGGUCUGAGAGGACGACCAGCCACACUGGGACUGAGACACGGCCCAGACUCCUACGGGAGGCAGCAGUGGGGAAUUUUGGGCAAUGGGGGCAACCCUGAUCCAGCCAUGCCGCGUGCGGGAAGAAGGCCUUCGGGUUGUAAACCGCUUUUGUUCGGGAAGAAAUCCUCUGGGCUAAUACCCCGGGGGGAUGACGGUACCGGAAGAAUAAGCACCGGCUAACUACGUG